rnacentral:rRNA from 1 species
GACGAACGCUGGCGGCGUGCUUAACACAUGCAAGUCGAACGGAAAGGCCCUGCUUUUGUGGGGUGCUCGAGUGGCGAACGGGUGAGUAACACGUGAGUAACCUGCCCUUGACUUUGGGAUAACUUCAGGAAACUGGGGCUAAUACCGGAUAGGAGCUCCUGCUGCAUGGUGGGGGUUGGAAAGUUUCGGCGGUUGGGGAUGGACUCGCGGCUUAUCAGCUUGUUGGUGGGGUAGUGGCUUACCAAGGCUUUGACGGGUAGCCGGCCUGAGAGGGUGACCGGACACAUUGGGACUGAGGUACGGCCCAGACUCCUACGGGAGGCAGCAGUGGGGAAUAUUGCACAAUGGGCGGAAGCCUGAUGCAGCAACGCCGCGUGCGGGAUGACGGCCUUCGGGUUGUAAACCGCUUUCGCCUGUGACGAAGCGUGAGUGACGGUAAUGGGUAAAGAAGCACCGGCUAACUACGUG